rnacentral:tRNA from 1 species
GCCAGCGUGGUGUAGUAGGUUGAGUGUUGGACUACGACUCUGGAGGCCAGGGUUCGAUUCCCUGCUCAGUCA